rnacentral:tRNA from 1 species
GAGGGUGUAGUUCAGUGGUAGAGUGUGUGCCUAGCAUGCACGAAGUCCUGGGUUCAAUCUCCAGUACCUCG